AUGAGGGAGGAGGAGGAGCCCAGCUGGUUCGCGCGCUUCGACGAGGACCUGCCGGCGCCCGACGAGCUCAUGCCGCUCUCGCAGUCGCUCAUCACCCGCGAUCUCGCCGCCGCCUUCGACAUCCCCACCACGCACGGCGGGGGCGGCCCGCUCAGCGGCGGCGCCGACGGGGCCGGCGGCGCGGGCGGCCAGGAGAUGAACGGCGGCGCGUCCUCGGCCGCCGGCUCCAGCGGCGGCAACGGGGGCGGCAACGGCGAGGAGCCGGCCAGGACCCUCAAGCGGCCGCGCCUCGUGUGGACGCCGCAGCUGCACAAGCGCUUCGUUGAUGCCGUGGCGCACCUCGGCAUCAAGAACGCCGUGCCCAAGACCAUAAUGCAGCUGAUGAGCGUGGACGGCCUCACGCGCGAGAACGUCGCGUCCCACCUCCAGAAGUACCGCCUCUACCUCAAGCGCAUGCAGGGGCUCGGCAACGGCGGUGGCGGCGGGGGAGGCAGCCACUCCUCCGGCUCCGGGACCGACGCAGCCACCGAGCACCUCUUCGCCACCGGGCCCUCCCCGUUCCUCCCGCCCGGCCGCGGCCCGGCCGUCGCCGACCCCUACACCCCCUACGCCGCCAUGCCGUCCCACCCCGCGGCGCACCACCAUCACCACCACCCGCAGCAGAUCGGCCACUUCCACCACCCCGCCGCGCGCCCGUUCGGCCACUACGGCGCCGGGCCAGGCGGCGGCUUCGACCACGGCUUCCUGAGCCGCGCCGUGGCCAGCGGCGCGCCAGUCGGCCCGCCCGGGAUGCACCACCGCAUGGUCGGCGGCGGGGCCGCGAUGGGGAUGAUGGCGCCGUCGUCCUUCGCCGAGGAGCUGGAGCUAGGGUCCCGCGGCGGCGGCGGCGGCGGCGGGCGCCGGGAGCUGACGCUGUUCCCGACCUCCGGCGAGCACUGA
rnacentral:rRNA from 1 species